UACGUAGGGUGCGAGCGUUGUCCGGAAUUAUUGGGCGUAAAGGGCUCGUAGGCGGUUUGUCGCGUCGGGAGUGAAAACUCAGGGCUUAACCCUGAGCCUGCUUCCGAUACGGGCAGACUAGAGGUAUGCAGGGGAGAACGGAAUUCCUGGUGUAGCGGUGAAAUGCGCAGAUAUCAGGAGGAACACCGGUGGCGAAGGCGGGUCUCUGGGCCGAUACUGACGCUGAGGAGCGAAAGCGUGGGUAGCAAACAGG
rnacentral:rRNA from 1 species